rnacentral:lncRNA from 1 species
CAAAUACGAGCAUCGUUUCAUUCCUCGACAAAAUUAAGCAUCGGUUAGUUAUUAUUAGCUUGUAUAGGUUAUUCAGGUUGUUAUGUUGGCCCAAGUAGGUUCUUCUUUUGAUAUGUACAGCCAUAUACUCCUCAUGCCUGCAGUUCACUAUGACAUGGUUGACUUGUGCCAGUGUAGAAAAUCUUAUAAAUGCUGGUAGAGUGAUUAAAAAUCAUAACAUGGUAUUAGUUUGUAGGUUAUUUUCCAUAUGCCUAAGUACUAUAGGCGCAAACAAUUUUUCAAAAGUAGCUUAAGCUAGCGGCUCACGAAUGUUAGCUGUGACUUCUUCUCCACCAAUUUGUCUCAUCUUCCUUGGUAAACAGUUGUAAACUAAUGUGAUUGUCAACAAAAGGUGGUGCUGCAGGAGAAAAUCAGCAAGGAUUUGCAAAACACACAGUACAAAGGCUUGCACCACUCCAGAAUCUAUCUGAAUUCAUCACGGUACACUUCGCAGAUGCUGCACUAAUUUCCAGGGUUUAUAAAACCUAUUCAUCCGCAUGAGACUUGCCCCUUUUCCAUAGUGGUGCAGCCGGUUUAGAUCAUCAAGCAUGCACAU